CUAAAAAUAUUAAGUUAGCUUCAUAUUGAAGAAAAAAAGAUAUUUUUUAAAACUCAUUAUGGCACAAUGCAAAACCGGUGCAUGCAAUGGGAGUGUCUCUUUUAGUAAAGUCUUGUCUGUCGAGACGACUGUCAACAAUGUUUCAAUUUUUAUUCUACUUGCUGUUUAUCACUCUGUCAGUACUAGGAUCAAUUGGGAUUUGUAUUUUUUUAAAAAACCAGUAUAAGUUUAAAAGCGAACAUUUUACAAAGUCUAUUAUUAAAGACGUGAAGAAGACUGUUAUAUCUCCAUUUCAUACUAACUUACAAGACACUCCAAAGGACACAAGUAACGUGGUUUUGAUAUGAUAUGUUAAAAAUUAUGUAAUAAAUAUUAUUUAAUAAAUAAAUAUUCGUAAUAUGGAAAUGUUGCGCAAUUUUAAACCUCAAA